CAGCGACUAGGAAAUCCGCGUAACCAAACAAGGGUCUUACACGAACACGAAGUGUUUAGCGCAGAAAAGCUCCAGGUUCUCUCGAAAUGCGUCUCAAGACAGUGGAGCUUCGGACAGUUCCCACUCAUCGUUCUUGCCGACCUCAACCUUGAUCCUCCAGAAAUGGACGAAGGCAGUUCAGUUCACGUUUCAGCUUCGACUAUCUCUAGGUCACUUUCUUUUUCGCACUCUCUCUAGUGUUUAAUCCGAUUUAGAAAUUUUUCUGGAAAACCGCGGAUCGGUUUGUUUCUUGUUUCAUGAUUGAGAGUAGUUUAGGUUUUCUAUCGGCUUUGUCUUAUUUAACUCGUGGAAAAUAGUGUUGAACAAGUUGCUGAUCUUCUUGUUAUUGAUUGCUUUGCUUGCCUUAGAGACGGUGUGAAGCGUGAGGUUUUGAAACGCGUCUACUCAAUAGAGGCUUAGGUUAGAGAGAGAACAAAACAUUCUUCUAUGAGCAUAUGAAAAUCUCUCCAUAGUUAGCAGUGAGCUUGAACUUGAGUUGUUACAAAUAGUAUUUGAGGUGUUUUUCAAUGGAGGUGGAUCGUAAUAUCUCACAUCGGUAUGAGAGAGGGAACCACCAAGCAUUCCUUAAAAUUUUGAGGGAAAUCUCAUAACCCAAACCUCACGGUGGAUCUCUGUUAAUACAUGGGAGUGCCAUUUCAGUGGACAGUGUUGUCAUCCAUGUUGGCCAUUGUCCCUAACCACAAUGAUUGUCUUGGAAACCUUGGAAUUGCUUAUCUUCAAAGUGAAACAUGGAACUAUCAAAAUCAUCAUUUUUCUUUCGAGCUUCACCUCAAAGUCUUAAAACGUGUCCACUAUAAAAAAGGUUUAGCCCUAUGUCAACCAAUGUCUUGCACCGUCUGGUGACUAACUCUGAUACCAUUUGUAAAACCUCAAGUCCACUAUUAGCAGAUAUUGUUUGCUUUGACUCGUUACGUAUCGUCAUCAGCCUUAUGAUUUUAGAACGCAUUCACUAGCGAGAGAUUUUCACUCCCUUAUAAAGAAUGCUUCGUUAUCCUCUCCAACCAAGAUGAGAUCUCACAAAUAUACAAGGAUUCGUUGAUUUGGUUAAGAAAUUGAAUAAUUUUCUUUGAAUACAUGGAUAAAUUGUUUAAACUUACGGUUUAAUUGUGGGUAGCAAGGGAGGCCGGGCGGUGACAAUUGAGAGAUUGUCACUGAUCAUUUCUAGUCACACGAGAAGAGAAGUCAAAUGAUAAGAUGAUACGCCCGUUUGGCUCCUUGCGGAGUAUAGCUCACAUCCAGUGAAGAACGGAGCAAUGCCCGUAAAGCUCCAGCGGAAAGGGAAGACUUGUCAGGCCGUAUGCCCAAGAGGCAGAAUUCAAGAUUCAAACCUAUAAUGAUGAUAUAUGUCUUUAACAUUAAUACUAAUCUUGCAUUCAUGUAGGGUUCUACGGAUCCUUGCCCUGUUUCUCUUCAGCUGUCAGAAGCCAGUUCUGUCAGAAGCCACUUCAUUGAGCUUCAAAAUGAAGCUUUGAUCAUUUUCAUGGGCGGUACUAUGAUUGGUGGACAGAUACUACUGGAAUCCGAGGAUUAUUUCAUCCUCUUCUUCUGGCACUAAGCCUACCGCUAGUAAAUAUUGUCUUUUUUAAACUUUCUCUCUCGAGCUUCUUCU